AUAUUACUCAGCGGAGGAAAAGAAAACAACCGUGAUUCCCUCAGUCAGCGGCGAGCGAAGAGGGACCGAACUCGAUGCCGAAUCGGGCCUCAUAUGGUCUUGAGUUGUGGCACAAACGCUGUUUUGUGGUUGGUGCGGGAUUGGCGAAAUUCAAUGUGCAAAGCAAACCCAUUGCUGAACACAACCCUUCGUGUGAGUAUUGAGCCAAAGAAGGUGACAGCCCAUUGAGCCAAAAACCCGAGCGCCUCAUUAAGCAGUACCAAGCGAGUAGCGCUUCUUGGGAGUGAAGCGUCAAUCGGCAGGUAUGUGUCUGCCAAAGUUAAAUACAGAGUGGGAAGACCGAUAUCGAACAAGUAGCGUGAGCGAAAGUUUGAAAAGCACUUUGGAAAGAGAGUGACAUAGAACCUGAAGUCGUGACAAUGGCAAUGGAAGCAUCUCCAUUUGAUCGCCAGAACCAG
rnacentral:rRNA from 1 species